rnacentral:tRNA from 1 species
CAGAAGAUAGUUUAAUAAGAAUGCUAGUUUUGGGGACUAGCGAUGAUGAAUUGGAUGCAUCUCUUUUGA